rnacentral:rRNA from 1 species
ACCCGUAAUCCGGGUUGCGGACAGUGUCUGGUGGGUAGUUUGACUGGGGCGGUCUCCUCCUAAAGAGUAACGGAGGAGCACGAAGGUUGGCUAAUCCUGGUCGGACAUCAGGAGGUUAGUGCAAUGGCAUAAGCCAGCUUGACUGCGAGCGUGACGGCGCGAGCAGGUGCGAAAGCAGGUCAUAGUGAUCCGGUGGUUCUGAAUGGAAGGGCCAUCGCUCAACGGAUAAAAGGUACUCCGGGGAUAACAGGCUGAUACCGCCCAAGAGUUCAUAUCGACGGCGGUGUUUGGCACCUCGAUGUCGGCUCAUCACAUCCUGGGGCUGAAGUAGGUCCCAAGGGUAUGGCUGUUCGCCAUUUAAAGUGGUACGCGAGCUGGGUUUAGAACGUCGUGAGACAGUUCGGUCCCUAUCUGCCGUGGGCGCUGGAGAACUGAGGGGGGCUGCUCCUAGUACGAGAGGACCGGAGUGGACGCAUCACUGGUGUUCGGGUUGUCAUGCCAAUGGCACUGCCCGGUAGCUAAAUGCGGAAGAGAUAAGUGCUGAAAGCAUCUAAGCACGAAACUUGCCCCGAGAUGAGUUCUCCCUGACCCUUUAAGGGUCCUGAAGGAACGUUGAAGACGACGACGUUGAUAGGCCGGGUGUGUAAGCGCAGCGAUGCGUUGAGCUAACCGGUACUAAUGAACCGUGAGG